rnacentral:piRNA from 1 species
UUUGACCCCACUGGUCCUCUUUCUUGCC